AGCGGAUAGCUCAGUAGUAGAGCACAUGCUUAACAUGCAUGAAGCCCUAGGUUCAAUCUCCAGUGCCUCUG
rnacentral:tRNA from 1 species